CCUGGGAGAACGAGGAGAGACGUGAGCAAUUCGGGGCUGGAAUGCAUUGGGAGUUGCCUUGCGACGCUGCGGCGAAUACCAGAGAGGUGAGACGAGGCAACGCACACCACCCCGCACCGCGCUGCCGCAGCCGUGCCCCACGGGGAGGGCUCCGGACACAGCUGCACUGGCACCCACCCCAGGAGAGCUCUCAGCCCUCAAACAGCCCCUUCCUGCUCCCCGCAUGGGAACGGCUCGGCCCUUCCCGCUGCUCUGCCCCACGCUGCACGCGGGAAGCAGUUCCCCAGCAGCCCCAGGGAGCCCAGCCUGUUCCAGCUGGGAGAAAUGCUGCUCACUGCUCUAUUUCCAAGCCUGCUGGGAAGACAAACUCAUCUUACUGCGGGGGCAAAGGCAGAACUGGAGGCUGGUAUUUGCUGCCAGCACGUGCUGCAGCCACGCUCUAAAGCUGAGAAAGUUUGCAGCUCAACCUCAGCCCUGAGGUGUUAACUCGUGCUUUGCCCCUGGCCACAAUUUCAGUGUUUGAGAGCAACUUGCAGAGCUGCCCCUGUACAUUCUCACCUUCCUUGGUGGCACUGAGGCCAUGGGCAGCCCCCUCAAAGAGCAUCCUCAUCACACAACCCCAUGGUCUGAACCGUGCCAACUGCACUGCCAUACAGCGCUGCUCACCCCCAUUCUAGAAUCACUUCUGGAGGGUUCUUUCAGCCUAUGAGCUCGGAAGAACAGAGGAAGGUGGGGCAGCACCAAGAAGCACAGAGCAGCCAGCAUCACCCGGGGUGCAGCAGUGACCAAGGGCUGGAGGGAGGCCCCCUGCUCUUUGAACUGCUCCAGAGCGUCCUGGGAGCCAGGCAGAAUGAGCAGCCAUUAAUCAAAGCCCGGCACGUAAUCAGCACACAUGUAACGCAGAGUCGCCCACGUCCCUGAGCCAGCCCCAGCCAGCACAUUGCAGAGGAGAAGAGGUCCUUCAAAGCCCUAUGCACACAGACACCAGGAGCUGGGUUCAUUCACAAAGCUCCAUCGCUUGGCUCGGCCAGGUCUGGCUGUCAGAAAUGUUUAAAUAUGGAAAAAAAUAAACAGUUGCAACACGUUUUUU